GAACCGCCUAUCAAGCGGCCACCAUUGCAUGAUGGUGGUGUAAGGCUUGAAGCUGGCCGCCGCAAGACGGCCAUACC
rnacentral:sRNA from 1 species